rnacentral:rRNA from 1 species
CAUCACUGGUGUUCGGGUUGUCAUGCCAAUGGCACUGCCCGGUAGCUAAAUGCGGAAGAGAUAAGUGCUGAAAGCAUCUAAGCACGAAACUUGCCCCGAGAUGAGUUCUCCCUGAGACUUUAAGUCUCCUGAAGGAACGUUGAAGACGACGACGUUGAUAGGUCGGGUGUGUAAGCGCAGCGAUGCGUUGAGCUAACCGAUACUAAUGAACCGUGAGGCUUAACCUUACAACGCCGAAG